UCACUCCUUCUCCCUUCGCAGCCGCAACCUCCUCUCUCUCUCUCUCUCUUUUGUUUUUCACUAUGCCUUCACUGGAAAGCAUGAUGUCUAGCCAUCACUUCACGUCACAGCCACCACCAGUCAAACCGGGACUCAAAUCCGACUCAAACCCAAUCAGAAUCACCAGCAUGCACCGCCUCCAGCCAGUGCACACGACCACCACAGUUCCUGCCACCAUGCCUCGCCAGAAAGGCUACUAUCGAUCACUUUCUCCACUCACCACCAUCACCAAUUUGUUCAAACUAAGCCGCUCAUCCAAACCCGGAAGCCUUUACACCAUCUGACGCUGGAUGACCACUGAACGCACCGCACGCUAGAGUUUUGCAUGGGUUGUGUUGGUUCUCUAACCUCCGGCCUGAAUUGAGUCAAAUUAACUCCAAAACUAGAAUCAGCGCUUCUCCCUUCACCAAAACCUCCAGUCCCGACCCCCAUUUCUUACCAGAGCCGCCGCACGCGCCUCACAUGCCGUCGCCGGUGCGUGGACCACUGCAGCUUUGCCACUCACGGCCACAAGACUUUCGAACCGUCUCCAUUAGGUAAAUUUAGUCACGCUUUUUGUGGUUGAGCCUCCAUUAUGAGUUUGACAAUAAUAAACCCUAACCUUGUAAUUUAAUUGUAUGUGAGGCUUGGUGAAAUUUGGUUUUGGAUUUGGAAAGGAAGAAGCUAAGGCUAGAAUCGUCGCAUUUAAAUUGAUUCACAGUUGACGGAGAAGAGUUCAAUGGCUUUAUGAAGCUGAGCUUGAUGCUAGAGGCAAUACGAAGCAUAAAAGCUUAUUUGGGAAAGGGUUAAAUCGUAAGGGUCAUGUAUUGAAUCUGUUUUGACGUGAACUAUGUUUUGGUGAAGUUGAGGUUUUAUGGAUUUCACGAAGUGGAAUGAAUACAGUCAGAUUUGUUCACCUAAGGGACAGUUUUAAGGGACUGUGAGGGACAAAUGCAUCUUAACCACAUGUAUUAAAUAUAAAAGCAGAAAUUAUAAUAACUUAAAACUGUGCAUUUAUUUUCAGCCGUCAGAUUCACUUGUCCCUCACAGUCCCUUAAAAACUGUCCCUUAGGUGAGCAGGUUUGAAUACAGUUAUACUUGUUAAUAUUAUGGUGAUAAAAAUGUAUCAUUGGCUGAAAUGGAAUUGAUACAUAAAUUACCGUGAUUGAUUUGAUGUUUGUAAGAAACUAAGUUUGAUAACAUGGGAAAUGAGAAUGGCCUAUUCAAACUAUAUGUGGAUAUUAUUGGGUAGUUAUUAGAAUGAUUUUAGCUACGGUUUCGGUGGUGAUAUGUUUAUGCAAAGUUAUUGAAUGAUGAAUUGGUUACCAUUAUGGAAAUGUCUUAAAGUGAUAAAAGUAGUUGGUGAGUAUUUAAGGAAUUGGUAAAUUUCGAAUGGAUCGAUUUUGACAAGUGGUUGUAUUCGAUGUUAAGAGGAAAUUUGUAAUGAGAAUGGUGACUUUUAUUGGAGUGAAUUAAA